rnacentral:rRNA from 1 species
AUUGAACGCUGGCGGCAUGCCUUACACAUGCAAGUCGAACGGCAGCACGGGAGCAAUCCUGGUGGCGAGUGGCGAACGGGUGAGUAAAGUGUCGGAACGUGCCCAGUCGUGGGGGAUAACGUAGCGAAAGUUACGCUAAUACCGCAUACGAUCUAUGGAUGAAAGCGGGGGAUCGCAAGACCUCGCGCGAUUGGAGCGGCCGAUAUCAGAUUAGGUAGUUGGUGGGGUAAAGGCUCACCAAGCCGACGAUCUGUAGCUGGUCUGAGAGGAUGAUCAGCCACACUGGGACUGAGACACGGCCCAGACUCCUACGGGAGGCAGCAGUGGGGAAUAUUGGACAAUGGGGGCAACCCUGAUCCAGCAAUGCCGCGUGUGUGAAGAAGGCCUUCGGGUUGUAAAGCACUUUAGUUGGGGAAGAAGGUGUAUUGUUUAAGAGAUGAUACAUUUGACUGUACCCAAAGAAUAAGCACCGGCUAACUCUGUGCCAGCCGCCGCCGUAA